rnacentral:tRNA from 1 species
GCACCCGUAGCGAAGUGGAUAACGCGCAGUCUUCCGAAGUCUGAGAUCACAGGUUCGAAUCCUGCCGGGUGCG